AAAAAGACAAACACUGGGUUUCCGUGUCCAACUUUGACUGUCCGUCUUAUAUGAAAUUUUUUUAUAAUUCGUAUUUUCAUUGUUGUUAGAUGAUAAAAUAUGAUUAAUAUUUUAUACGUGACUUGUCUUUUAAAUUUUUAUAUAAUUUUUUCAAAUAAGACGGACGGUCAAACGUUGGACACGGAAACC
rnacentral:pre_miRNA from 1 species